rnacentral:rRNA from 1 species
CCUACGGGUGGCAGCAGUGGGGAAUAUUGGUCAAUGGACGGAAGUCUGAACCAGCCAUGCCGCGUGCAGGAAGACGGCUCUAUGAGUUGUAAACUGCUUUUGCACAGGGGUAAACCUGAAUACGUGUAUUCAGCUGAAAGUACUGUACCAAUAAGGAUCGGCUAACUCCGCGCCAGCAGCCGCGGUAAUACGGAGGAUCCAAGCGUUAUCCGGAUUUAGUGGGUUUAAAGGGUGCGUAGGCGGAUUGAUAAGUUAGAGGUGAAAUGUCCGAGCUUAACUCGGGAACUGCCUCUAAUACUGUUGAUCUAGAGAGUAGAAGGGGGAGGCGGAAUGCAUGGUGUAGCGGUGAAAUGCUUAGAGAUCAUACAGAACACCGGUGGCGAAGGCAGCUUACCAAUCUAUAUCUGACGUUGAGGCACGAAAGCGUGGGGAGCAAACAGGAUUAGAUACCCGAGUAGUC